rnacentral:lncRNA from 1 species
AUGAUGAUAACAAGAACUUGCAGCAGCUGCUUGACGCAUUUGGUUCUGUGGUUUCCCUUGAGGACAUAGCAUCUGCUUACUGUCAAGCAGGUCGUGACGUUUAUACAGCUGGUGAAUUACUUUGUAAUCAUCAGGGAAGCACCUCCUGCAUUUCUUCUUCUGCAUCCAAGGAUGAAUUCGAAGGUGCAGGUUCUUCUGACAAUCUUCAGGGAAGCACCUCCUGCAUUUCUUCUUCUGCAUCCAAGGAUGAAUUCGAGGGUGCAGGUUCUUCUGACAAUCUCUUGGGGAGAUCAGAUGUGGAGAGAAAUUCCAUAGCACCAAAGCAAAGAAAGUAUUCAGUAUCAAUGGGCACUGUUUCAGGUG